rnacentral:rRNA from 1 species
GACGAACGCUGGCGGCGUGCUUAACACAUGCAAGUCGAACGAAGAGCGAUGGAAGCUUGCUUCUAUCAAUCUUAGUGGCGAACGGGUGAGUAACGCGUAAUCAACCUGCCCUUCAGAGGGGGACAACAGUUGGAAACGACUGCUAAUACCGCAUACGAUCCAAUCUCGGCAUCGAGACUGGAUGAAAGGUGGCCUCUAUUUAUAAGCUAUCACUGAAGGAGGGGAUUGCGUCUGAUUAGCUAGUUGGAGGGGUAACGGCCCACCAAGGCGAUGAUCAGUAGCCGGUCUGAGAGGAUGAACGGCCACAUUGGGACUGAGACACGGCCCAGACUCCUACGGGAGGCAGCAGUGGGGAAUCUUCCGCAAUGGACGAAAGUCUGACGGAGCAACGCCGCGUGAGUGAUGACGGCCUUCGGGUUGUAAAGCUCUGUUAAUCGGGACGAAUGGUUCUUGUGCAAAUAGUGCGAGGAUUUGACGGUACCGGAAUAGAAAGCCACGGCUA